rnacentral:rRNA from 1 species
UACGUAGGUGGCGAGCGUUGUCCGGAUUUACUGGGCGUAAAGAGCGCGCAGGCGGCUGGUCAAGUCCGAUGUGAAAGCUCCCGGCUUAACUGGGAAAUUGCAUCGGAAACUGAUCGGCUGGAAGGUGGGAGAGGGUAGCGGAAUUCCCGGUGUAGUGGUGAAAUGCGCAGAUAUCAGGAGGAACACCGGUGGCGAAGGCGGUUCUCUGGGCAUUACCUGACGCUGAGGAGCGAAAGUGUGGGGAGCGAACAGG